rnacentral:rRNA from 1 species
AGAGUUUGAUCCUGGCUCAGGACGAACGCUGGCGGCGUGCUUAACACAUGCAAGUCGAACGAGAAAGCACCUUCGGGUGUGAGUACAGUGGCGAACGGGUGAGUAACACGUGGGCAACCUGCCCUGGAGACUGGGAUAACGUUCCGAAAGGGACGCUAAUACCGGAUAACGCGCGAUCUGCCAAGUGGAUCGCGCCAAAUGGUAGCUUCGGCUCCUACUCUGGGAUGGGCCCGCGCCGGAUUAGCUUGUUGGUGAGGUAACGGCUCACCAAGGCGACGAUCCGUAGCUGGUCUGAGAGGACGAUCAGCCACACUGGGACUGAGACACGGCCCAGACUCCUACGGGAGGCAGCAGUGGGGAAUCUUGCGCAAUGGGCGAAAGCCUGACGCAGCAACGCCGCGUGAGCGAAGACGGCCUUCGGGUUGUAAAGCUCUGUCAGGAGGGACGAAGCCACUCAGGUGAAUAGCCGAGAGGGUGACGUACC